GAUGAACGCUAGCUACAGGCUUAACACAUGCAAGUCGAGGGGCAUCAUGUCGGUUGCUUGCAACCGAUGAUGGCGACCGGCGAAUGGGUGAGUAACGCGUAUCCAACCUGCCCCCGGCCGGGGUAUAACCCGUCAAAAGGCGGCCUAAUCCCCCAUGUAGUCCUCUGAGGUCCUCCGAUGAGGAUGAAAGGUAUUUUUCCGGCCGGUCGAUGGGGAUGCGUCCGAUUAGCUUGCUGGCGGGGUAACGGCCCACCAGGGCUUCGAUCGGUAGGGGUUCUGAGAGGAAGGUCCCCCACACUGGUACUGAGACACGGAUCAGACUCCUACGGGAGGCAGCAGUGAGGAAUAUUGGUCAAUGGGCGGAAGCCUGAACCAGCCAAGUAGCGUGCAGGAUGACGGCCCUAUGGGUUGUAAACUGCUUUUGCGCGGGGAUAAAUUGGGGAACGUGUUCCCCUUGCAGUACCGCGCG
rnacentral:rRNA from 1 species